AUGACAUCAGGUUCAGGGAAGGGGGGGAGGGGCACCCAGCCACUGGCUUCAGCCAGCUGCAGCAGCUUUGCUGCCCUUCAAGUCGGAGGCACAGGGGCCUCGGGGGUCCGGAAGCUGGGGACAGGCAGCCUUUCAUCUCUGCUGGCCCAGGGUCGCUGCAGGUUGGCAGGCCCCACAUCCCGAGAUCGCGUUUCAGGCUGGAAGGGGCCUUCCUGUGACCUCAGAAGGCCAUUAGGAAUCUGCCAAGCGAGGCGUGGUCUUUUUCCUCUCUCUUGUUUCUUGGCUUGUUUUCCCGGUUCUCCAACAGCCGCCUCCUGCAAAAGCCUCCGGGUGCGUGUACAGGAACAUUUUUCUUUAAAAAAAAAAAAAAGAGAGAGAGAGAGAAAGAGAGAGAAAUGCAGCCACAGUUUGGGUAAAAAAGCAACCAGCUCCUUAAUCCUUCCCUGUAACCUCUGGCUCCUCAGCGGGGUUGGCUCCAGCCGCUGGGAAGCAAGGCCCUGCUGGGGUGAGAGGCCUGGGCUUGCUUCCCGCCCGCCCCCUCCUCACCCGCCUCUGUUCUCCUUCAGGGUUUGGUCUGACUUCUGGAGCCAGGAGGAGACAAGCUGCAGGGCUCAGCAGGGCUCAGACAGCAUGGGGGGGGCUGUGGCUGAAGAGGUUGGCCGGGCCUCUGCCCCUCUGCCCACUUGGCCACCUUCUAGGGAGGUUAUAGGAUCAGGAGUUUUCACCCCUAACCCGCUGCCUCUACUCCCGCUUUCAUUCCUUCAUGCUUCUGUCUUAGGAAUUACCAGUAUCUCCCCGGCAAGGACCCUGCAAAUUCCAUGAGCGCCCUCUCCCAGCUCCCUGCUUCACUGUCCAGCCCAGGGCUUGGCUUUCUUUUUUGUGAAAGCCAUACACGCUCAUGCUCCAGGCCUCUAUCCACUCAGACCCCUCCGAGGGGGUGGCACUCAAGGUCCCCGCAGUGUCUUGCUCUGUCUGCAGAACUCUUAAUUAUCCCUGGCGGCCCUGGCACCUGGGUCAGUGCUGGAACAUAGCUGGUAUGACUGUGGUGUGUCUUGAAUGAAUUCGAACCCUAAAAAGGUCUAUUCACAGUGAUCUUACGGGCCUCCCCAGCACCCUCGGGAAUCCAGUCCAAUCCUCCGUCUCUACCUUUUCCCAUUUGCAUGCUCUCAGCAAAGGAUUUCCCAUUUCCCCCAACAUGUCAUCUUUUCUCUUGCCUCUGGGCCUUUGUACUCCUGUGAACCCCCCUUCCCCCUGCCUGCAACACCCUUCUUCAGCAACUCUCACCCUCUGGCCUGUCACCCUGUCAGAUUACCCCAUGAGCAGAGCAAACAUGUAUUUAGGACACCAGCAAAGUGCAGGCAUGCAAACAUGACUUUUAUUUAUUUAUUUAUUUAUUUAUUUAUUGCUUUUUAGGGCCACCCCCGUGGAACAUGGAAGUUCCCAGGCUAGGGGUCGAAUGGGAGCAAUGCCAGAUCUGAGCUGCGCCUUCGACCUACCCCACAGCUCACAGCCACGCCAGAUCCUUAACGCAGGGAGUGAGGC
rnacentral:lncRNA from 1 species